rnacentral:rRNA from 1 species
GAUGAACGCUGGCGGCGUGCCUAAUACAUGCAAGUCGAACGAAGCGGGGACGGGUGAGUAACACGUGGAUAACCUCCUAUAAGGCUGGGAUAACUUCGUGAAACCGGUGCUAAACCCGCUACUUUUCGAUGGAUCCACGUUGCAUUAGCUAGUUGGUAAGGUAACGGCUUACCAAGGCAACGAUGCAUAGCCGACCUGAGAGGGUGAUCGGCCACACUGGAACUGAGACACGGUCCAGACUCCUACGGGAGGCAGCAGUAGGGAAUCUUCCGCAAUGGGCGAAAGCCUGACGGAGCAACGCCGCGUGAGUGAUGAAGGUCUUCGGAUCGUAAAACUCUGUUAGUAGGGAAGCGGUACCUAAUCAGAAAGCCACGGCUAACUACGUGCCAGCAGCCGCGGUAAUAC